rnacentral:rRNA from 1 species
GACGAACGCUGGCGGCGUGCUUAACACAUGCAAGUCGAACGAAGUGGCGAACGGGUGAGUAACGCGUAAUCAACCUGCCCUUCAGAGGGGGACAACAGUUGGAAACGACUGCUAAUACCGCAUACUGAAGGAGGGGAUUGCGUCUGAUUGGCUAGUUGGAGGGGUAACGGCCCACCAAGGGGAUGAUCAGGAGGCUGUCUGAGAGGAUGAACGGCCACAAUGGGACGGAGAAACGGCCCAGACUCCUACGGGAGGCAGCAGGGGGGAAACAUCCGCAAUGGACGAAAGUCUGACGGAGCAACUCCGCGUGAGUGAUGACGGCCUUCGGGUUUUAAAGCUAUGUUAAUCGGGACGCGGUACCGGAAUAGAAAGCCACGGCUAACUACGUGCCAGCAGCCGCGGUAAUAC